GGCGGGUCGAGCGGUGGCUCGGCCGCCGCCGUCGCCGCGGGUGUGGUGCCCGCGGCGUCGGGGGGUGACGGCACAGGUUCGAUCCGUGUACCCGCCUCC
rnacentral:tRNA from 1 species